GGCCUGAUGGUCUAGUAGUAUGAUUCCUUGUUAGGGCGAAUAGCUCGUGUCGAGGAGGUCCCGGGUUCAAUUCCCGGUCAGGCCC